UGUGUGUCUUCCAGUUCAAUUCAAUUCAGUUUAUUCAUUCAAACCAUAAAAUGGUACAUGAGGUGAGUCAGUAUAUUUAGUCCAGCAUGAUUAUAUCCAUGUAUUUCAAUGAAUUCGUUAUCACGAAUCCGGUGACUACUAAUUAUGUUGUAACACUUUGUUUAUAUUAACGAGCUUAUCUAAAAGCAAGUCUCUCUUUUCUAGCAUUGUACAUUUUGUUCAUUUUUCACCCGAUUACCCCGUCAGUCUAUCGCUUUCAUUUGUAGUAUCUUCUAAUAAAUAAAUGUUAAACGCUC
rnacentral:sRNA from 1 species